rnacentral:misc_RNA from 1 species
AGUCUAGAUGCAACUUGCAAUAGCAGAAGACAAAUGCUCCACAGAACUUGUUAGAUUGAGAGUCUUUCCUUAGGAAUUCUUCACAAGGAAUCCCAAUACUAUGCUUCUUCCUUCGGGGUUUUUUUCUUCACUAAUGAAGAUAAGUUUUUUAUUUCAAUUUAUAUGUUUGUUAAAACAUAUAACUGCAUGUGAUUACAUGCAACCGUUCGCCCUUUUUCAAUUUUUUUUGUUCUUUAUUAUAAUUAUUUAUCAUACAAAUAAAUAAUUAUAAUAGAAGAUAUGAAUUUGGGUUGACCCAUAU